rfam:Prevotella multiformis DSM 16608 genomic scaffold SCAFFOLD2, whole genome shotgun sequence.
UCCACCGUGAGAUGAAAUCUGAAGAAAGCUGAUGGCAACCUCCUGCUCCAACGCAUAGGAACUUCAUAUAAGACAUGUAGUGUGGGUAAGGUUGCUAAACAAACUAAAGCCCGAUGGCUAUUCGUAACGGUUGAUAUAAAUGAAGUAGUUAUGAGGAAAAGGCAAUGUCU